UGAUAGUUUCAAGUAUGCAUGUUGUCUGCUGAGACCUCAGAAUUUUGAGAAUGUUUUAAUCAUGUUCUUGUUUUGUUUCCUGGUUUGCUUAGCCAUAUCUGAAUAAAUAUGUUCCGUAUUUCUGAGAAUACAUCCAGUUAUAUCACAAGAUCUUUGGGGUGUUACUUCACCAGCUGGAAACCUCUGUGGCUGGUGGUACCUUCGCCCAAGUUUUUGCUCUGGCCUGCUGGGCUUGUUCUGCCUACUGGGUCUGGCAGGCUGCACUUGGCUUUUGCUACUGGCCGGGAUCCCACACCUGCCAAAAGCAAGCCAGGCACGAAGUGGUGAAAAAUGCGUGGGCAAGCAAGUGCUGGGUCCAUCCGCUGCACACAGCCAGGCUCGCCAGCUGCUGUGGCGGGUGGGUAGCUCCAGGAGCCAGCACAGGUGCCAGCUCCGUGAAAGACUGAGGCUGGACCAGAUGUACAGCAUGCAGGCUGCGGGUACCCUGUCUGGACAAGGGGAGCACGGUGAUGCCUGGAAGUUUAGUGAUGCCAGGAACCACAGAGCCCCAAAGAGGGAGUCACAAACCUGGCUCAGGGAGCCCCGAGAUCUGGGCUCCCCAAAAAGCCGCAGCUCUUCUCUCCUUCUCCUCACAUGCAAAGUGACAAUCAGGGGCGUGUGUUUCAGCCCUGUUUGUGGUUACAGCUCUUUUAGUCCCGCUGUGUCCGGAAAUGGUGGGUUCUUGGUCUCACUGACUUCAAGAAUGAAGCCGCGGACCCUCGCGGUGAGUGUUACAGCUCUUAAGGUGGCGCGUCUGGAGUUUGUUCCUCCUGAUGUUCGGAUGUGUUCCGAGUUUCUUCCUUCUGGUGGAUUCGUGGUCUCGCGGGCUCAGGAGUGAAACUGCAGACCUUCGCGGUGUUACAGCUCAUAAAGGCAGUGUGCACCCAGAGUGAGCAGCAGCAGGAUUUACGGAGAGGGUGGGAGGCUCAGGCAUGGCGGGCUGCAGGUCCUGAGCCCUUUCCCGCGGGAAGGCAGCUAAGGCCCGGCGAGAAAUUGAGCGCAGCGCCAGUGGACCGGCAGUGCUGGGGGACCCAGUACACCCUCCGCAGCCGCUGGCCCGGGUGCUAAGCCCCUCAUUGCCCGGAGCCGGCAGAGCCGGCCGGCUGCUCCGAGUGCGGGGCCCGCCAAGCCCACGCCCACCCGAAACUCCAGCUGGCCCGGAAGCGCCGCGCGCAGCCCCGGUUCCGGCUCGCGCCUCUCCCUUCACACCUCCCUGCAAGCUGAGGGAGCCGGCUCUGGCCUCGGCCAGCCCAGGAAGGGGCUCCCACAGUGCAGCGGGGGGCUGAAGGGCUCCUCAAGUGCCGCCAAAGUGGGAGCCCAGGCAGAGGAGGCGCCGAGAGCGAGCGAGGGCUGUGAGGACUGCCAGCACGCUGACACCUCUCACCGCCAUUUGCCAGGUCCAGAGUUCUUGUCCUACAUCCAGGAAGAAUGAAGUACGUGGACAACUGGAGAGACUGAUUCCUUAUCCAACAUCACUUUCUGGACUACCUAGAAUCCAACUAUCAUGUCUUUCACCAAGAUGUCAUCUUGUGGGCUAGUCCGUUGGACCUACUUGACCACUCAGACACUAUCCUAAUCUCCAUAAUGUGAUACCUCCUGAGAGGCAGCCAUUUGACACAGACACCUUUCUCAGUUUGCUCAGGCUCCAACGCCAUGAUCUGCCAUGCAACUCUCUCCACAGUCUCCAUCAUGGAUACCUGCCUUUUAUUCCAACACCUAAUGUUUUAGUAUUAAAUCAUUCCAUAUGAUAAGAGUAGAGAGGUGAAAGAGGAAGACUCAUUCAACGGAAGUUGAUCUGCUGUGUUUUCACAAUUAUUCCAUACAUAACAUUUUCUAAUAUCUUUGUUACUUCUUUUUUUGACUCAGUUACAUAGAAAUAUUUUUCUUAAUUUCCAAAUAUAUGAGGAUAUUCCUUAUAAUUUUGCUAUUGAUCUUUAAUCUCAUUCCAUUGAUUUUAAAGAUUGUUCUCUUUAAGACUGCAAUACAUUGAAUUUGUUAGGCCUUUCUAUUGCCUAUCAUAUGGUCACAUUUGGUGAAUUUUCAAUGUGCUCUUGAGGGAAAAAAAAGUGUAUUCUAGAGUUGAUUCGUUUAAUGCAGUAUAAAUAACAUUAUGUUAUGUUAUUUUAAUUUUUCUGAAUACUUAGUGAUUUUUAAAAAACCAUCCAUACCGAUUUCCGAGGAGUAUUAAAACCUCCACUAGUAAUUGUGGAUGUGCCUAUAUCUGUUUUUAGUUGUCUCCAAUUUUGAAUUUUUUAUCUUUAGUAUGGAAAAAUAUGCAUUUUUAUUUCUUUUUAAAAAAUUAAUUAUUUAUUAUAAAAUAUCCGUUUUUAUUAAUGGCAAAUAUCUUUGUCUUGAUGCCUACUUUAUCUGAUAUUCAGAAAAACCAGACUGGCUUCUUUAUGCUUAAUAUUUCAAAAUAUAUCUUUUCUACCCUUUUACUUUCAUCUUCCCAGUGUCUUCAUAUUUAAAGAAAUUAAAAAGUAAGAAAUGUAUAUGUAUAUACAUAUAAUACAUAUUUCCACUUAUAGUGAACAUUUGUUAACAUUUUCAGUGCUUUGUUUCAUUAUUGUGUUUGUUUCUGUUGACUAUAUUUUUCUUUUGGUUAUAUGUCUCAUUUAUCUUCUUUUUUCCAUAUCUCAAUUUUGUUUGUCUAUGCUGGCAUUGGAGGUUCUAAAUUGUUGAGAGUCUGGAUUUAAUUUUAUUUCUUUAGAGAGUUUUGAAAUUUGUUCUAGAAGACACUCAAUUAAUUUAGUGGUGAAUUAGCUCUGUCUUGUGAAGGCUUAUGUUUAGCUCUGACACUGCUGGUCUAAAGCACCGCACUUAAAACGAGACCUUCCUGGGACCACAAUUGAUUGUCUAGAUAAUGAGUGAGGUUGUUCUCUAGCUGACUUUAGGUAUAAUGUCUCUGAUCACCGUGAGACUCUAGAAUCUUUACAUACCUCACAACCUUUUAGUAGGCUGUUCGCCGAGCUGAUAUCUGUUAUCUCCCAUACUUUAUGGAGUUUCACAUUGAAUAUUUUCAAUUUAAUAAUGGACCAAAGAGUCAAAAAGACCUAUUCAAACUUUUGGAGCUUCUUUUUUUCAUAGUUAUCUCAUCUCUGGUACUCUGCCCUGCAAAUUCCAGCUACAUCAGCAAACCAGAAUGCAGCUCUCUUUUAUGUUGUUCUGUUUUAAACGUAUUUGUCUGUACUGAAGUUUAGAAAACGACUCCAUGUGGACAACCAGGGUAAUUGUGGCACUCACCUAAAACGUUUCUCUUAUUUCAACGAUAGUGCUUUUAUGAUCUUUGUUGUGUAAUGUACAAAAAAAAGUUUAAUGUCAUCUACCAUGUUUUAUAAAUGUAUGCGAUGUGAGAGUGAGGACGACACCCUCUACUCUUGUCCUUGCUGGAAUUGGAAGUCAACCAUUAAGUCUUAAUUAAGCCUUUCUCUUCAGCUUUCUUGUCUUCCCUCCUUAUAUUAUCUCUCUAUGCGAUGUCAUUCUUCAAUAAAUCACAUCUCAAUCUAACUUCAGUCUUAAUUACAGCCUUGAGUUAUUGAACCCUAUAUCUAGGUUUUUACUGAAAAUUUCCACUUGCAUUGUCUACCAGAAAAUCAAACAUAACAUGUUGAUUCCAAAAUUAUUGCCUUUUCCACUGAUUUCAUUGUCCUACUUCAGUUCAUUUUAUUAUUGACUUCUCCUUCAAUCCAACUAAAAUCUCUGAGAUCAAAAUAUAAUCCAUCUCUCAUAGUCCCUGAUGACAACACAUUUUCAAGUAUUAUUAAUUUUUUUCUUUGUGAUAUAUUUCACAUCUGCUAUUAUAGUUGUUAGGAGACUUUAAUUAUAUGUAACAAACACACUGACACUAAUGUGGUGGAAAUUUCCUCAAAGUUAUAUGUUGUUUAAUGUAAUAAAAUACCAGGAAUGCAUUCAUAGUUAGAAAAUGGGGUAAAAUAUUGAAGGAGAAUGUAGUCCAAACCCUUUACUUUCACAUGCACAUACACACACACACACAAACACACACACAUGCACAGACACAUAAAUAUAUAUACACACAUACAUAUUUACUCUUCUUUGAUUGUCUGCUUCAUUUCUUUUACUACACAUGAUCUUUCUUUACUCCACUUUUCAAGUGGAAUAAAAUGGCCAUCCAGAAAACCAAAGUUUACACAGCAACAUUAAAAGGACAGAAUUAUAAACAAAUGUGUUAGCCCAAGUCUAAGUUCAUAAGAAAGAAUGCCAUUAACCUAGAUUAUAUAGUAUUAUCUCUACAGGUAAAGGUCUGGAAGAAGGCCAAUAUUGCUCGGAUUGGCUACCAAAAGUCAUCUUUGUACAUGCAUAGCAGUGUUGGGUAGGAUAUUAUAUUGUAAUAGGUAGAAAAUUAAUAGGUAUCUAUGACUUUUUACCUCCUAAAUGCUCACAAUAUACAUAUAAACGUUUUCCAUAUUGUCAAAUAAAUCUUCAACCAAUUUUCUCAUAUAGAAGAAACUUCCAUUUUAAAACUUCUUGCAAUCUAUCAAGUGAUAUAGUUCCUGAGAUCAAAACUGAUUAAAAAAAAAACAAAGCUGAAGUUGAGUAAAUUUUCAAAUGAAACGCCAGUCAUUCAUUACAGGCAUACUGUGGCAAUAGUGUCAAUAUUGUAGUUUCAGUGCCAGACCACUGCAGUAAAGCGAAUAUGGAAAUAAAAUGAAUCAGACAAAUAUUUUUUAUUUCCCAGUGCAUAUGAAAGUCAUGUUUACACUAUACUGUGGUUUAUUAAGUGUGCAGUAACAUGAUAUCUUAAAAAGUGUACAUUUUAAUAAAAAAUACUUCAUUGGUAAAAGAUGCUGACAUAGAGACACAAAAUGAGCCCAAGCUGUGUAAAAAUAAUGCCAAUAUACUUGUUCAAUGCAGGAUUGCCAUAAACCUUCAAUUUGUAAAAAGCACAAUGUCAGCAAAAUGCAAUAACGUGAACCACUGUAGAGUGAGGUAUGCCUAUGUUUGUGACUUUGGGGGAAGUAGUUAAUAUUGCUAAGGUUAACAUUUCUUCAAUGUCUGGUUAAUAUAGUACUUAUCUCACAAGCUUGUUAUGAGAGUAUACAAUGAAGAAAGUGCUGAAUAC